UACAGAGGUCCCAAGCGUUGUUCGGAUUCACUGGGCGUAAAGGGUGCGUAGGUGGUCGGGUAAGUCUGAUGUGAAAUCUCCGAGCUUAACUCGGAAAUGGCAUUGGAUACUAUUCGACUGGAGGGUUGGAGGGGGGACUGGAAUUCUCGGUGUAGCAGUGAAAUGCGUAGAUAUCGAGAGGAACACCAGUGGCGAAGGCGAGUCCCUGGACAACUCCUGACACUGAGGGACGAAAGCUAGGGGAGCAAACAGG
rnacentral:rRNA from 1 species